rnacentral:rRNA from 1 species
AUUCCGUGCCCAAUUAAUAUAAAAAUACCGAAUUACUAAAAGCUAUGAUCUCUAAAAUUAAAGGAUUUGGCGGUAAUUUAGUCCAGUUAGAGGAACCUGUGCUGUAAACGAUGAACCCCGCAGUAUCUUACCUAUCUUCAGCAGUUUGUAUACCGUCAUUAUUAGGUAACUUUUAGAAAAUUCAAGUUAUUGUAAUAGAAAAUAUUUUCUAAUAUAUUAGAUCAUGGCGCAGCUUAUAUUUAGGAUUUACAUGGGUUACAAUAAACCUUAUUUAUACGGAUAGAAAUUUUAAACAGUUUCUUGAAGGAGGAUUUAAUAGUAAAUUUAAUUUAAUAAGUUAAAUUGAUAGAGGACCUAAAUUGUGUACAAAUCGCCCGUCACUUCCACUAUCAUGGAAUAAGUCGUAACAUAG